rnacentral:rRNA from 1 species
UAAGCGGAGGAAAGAAACCAACCGGGAUUGCCUUAGUAACGGCGAGUGAAGCGGCAAAAGCUCAAAUUUGAAAUCUGGUACCUUCGGUGCCCGAGUUGUAAUUUGGAGAGGGCAACUUUGGGGCCGUUCCUUGUCUAUGUUCCUUGGAACAGGACGUCAUAGAGGGUGAGAAUCCCGUGUGGCGAGGAGUGCGGUUCUUUGUAAAGUGCCUUCGAAGAGUCGAGUUGUUUGGGAAUGCAGCUCUAAGUGGGUGGUAAAUUCCAUCUAAAGCUAAAUAUUGGCGAGAGACCGAUAGCGAACAAGUACAGUGAUGGAAAGAUGAAAAGAACUUUGAAAAGAGAGUGAAAAAGUACGUGAAAUUGUUGAAAGGGAAGGGCAUUUGAUCAGACAUGGUGUUUUGUGCCCUCUGCUCCUUGUGGGUAGGGGAAUCUCGCAUUUCACUGGGCCAGCAUCAGUUUUGGUGGCAGGAUAAAUCCAUAGGAAUGUAGCUUGCCUCGGUAAGUAUUAUAGCCUGUGGGAAUACUGCCAGCUGGGACUGAGGACUGCGACGUAAGUCAAGGAUGCUGGCAUAAUGGUUAUAUGCCGCCC